rnacentral:rRNA from 1 species
CGAGUCAACGUAGAAUACGUGGCAUACGGCUCAGUAGCACGUAGUCAACAUGCCCAGGGGACGUGGAUAACCUCGGGAAACUGAGGAUAAACCGCGAUAGGCCAUGAUUUCUGGAAUGGUUCAUGGCCAAAAUCUAUAUGGCCCCUGGAUUGGACUGCGGCCGAUCAGGCUGUUGGUGAGGUAAUGGCCCACCAAACCUGUAACCGGUACGGGCUCUGAGAGGAGGAGCCCGGAGAUGGGCACUGAGACAAGGGCCCAGGCCCUAUGGGGCGCAGCAGGCGCGAAAUCUCUGCAAUAGGCGAAAGCUUGACAGGGUUACUCUGAGUGGUUCCCGUUAAGGGGAUCUUUUGGCACCUUUAAAAAUGGUGCAGAAUAAGGGGUGGGC